rnacentral:rRNA from 1 species
AUUGAACGCUGGCGGCAGGCCUAACACAUGCAAGUCGAGCGAGCGGCGGACGGGUGAGUAAUGUCUGGGAAACUGCCUGAUGGAGGGGGAUAACUAUUGGAAACGGUAGCUAAUACCGCAUACCAUCAGAUGUGCCGAGAGGGGAGUAGCUAAUAGGUGGGGUAACGGGUCACCUAGGUACCGAUCCCUUGCUGGGUUGAGAGGAUGAACAGCCACACUGGAACUGAGACACGGUCCAGACUCCUACGGGAGGCAGCAGUGGGGAAUAUUGCACAAUGGGCGCAAGCCUGAGGCAGCGAUGCCGCGUGUGUGAAGAGGGCCUUCGGGUUGUAAAGUACUUUCAGCGGGGAGUCGUUACCCGCAGAAGAAGCACCGGCUAACUCCGUGCCAGCAGCCGCGGUAAUUC